GAAUAACUAAUAUGUUAAAACUAAAACUGAUUGAAAUUAGCUAACAAAAUGACAAACUAAUGUUAUUUUAUAUUUAUAAUUAGCAGAAACAAACCUAAUGGCUUUAAUGUGCUGCCAACGUGCUAUACCUGUCAAUGGUCCCUUCUG